rnacentral:rRNA from 1 species
AUGUCCUCUGGUUUUUUAAGUCCAAACAAUUUUUCUGCAAUUUUUCACUUAGCUCAGCCGGCGGACACACAUAGAAACUCAUGCACGGGGUCAUUCAUCCAUGAUGGUAGAAUGUACAAGUAUGUCGCACCAAAACUGUCGGAUGCGGGAAGAUUCGCUGGCUCCAUUGACCCUCCUACCAACCUAUACAACAACAUACCCAAUGAAACAACUUUAGAUGAAUUUCCUUCAUAUAGUUUUGGUGAUUCCUAUGCGGGCCUCAUGCGUGGUAAGCUGGUGGAGACAAACAAAGGCAAGUUUCCAGACCCUUCAUACAAUUCUGCAACACAUGCGACGUUGACUGGUGUUCUUCAUAGAGGCUUCAAUGAGCAGAUUGUUCCAAAAAAAUGCACCUAG